UUACGGUCAUAUCAUAUUGAAACACCGCUUCGUGUACGAUCUCCGAAGUUAAGCAACGUCUAGCCCGGUCAGUACCUAGAUUGGUGACCGCUUGCCAGGUGCUGC